rnacentral:rRNA from 1 species
CGAGGCCGAAAGGCGUAGUCGAUGGGAAACAGGUUAAUAUUCCUGUACUUGGUGUUACUGCGAAGGGGGGACGGAGAAGGCUAUGUUAGCCGGGCGACGGUUGUCCCGGUUUAAGCAUGUAGGCGGAACGAUUAGGUAAAUCCGGUCGUUUAUUAACGCUGAGGUGUGAUGACGAGGCACUACGGUGCUGAAGUAACAAAUGCCCUGCUUCCAGGAAAAGCCUCUAAGCAUCAGGUAACAUUAAAUCGUACCCCAAACCGACACAGGUGGUCAGGU